rnacentral:rRNA from 1 species
GACGAACGCUGGCGGCGUGCUUAACACAUGCAAGUCGAACGGAAAGGCCCUGCUUUUGCGGGGUGCUCGAGUGGCGAACGGGUGAGUAACACGUGAGUAACCUGCCCUUGACUUUGGGAUAACUUCAGGAAACUGGGGCUAAUACCGGCUAGGAGCUCCUGCUGCAUGGUGGGGGUUGGAAAGUUUCGGCGGUUGGGGAUGGACUCGCGGCUUAUCAGCUUGUUGGUGGGGUAGUGGCUUACCAAGGCUUUGACGGGUAGCCGGCCUGAGAGGGUGACCGGCCACAUUGGGACUGAGAGACGGCCCAGACUCCUACGGGAGGCAGCAGUGGGGAAUAUUGCACAAUGGGCGGAAGCCUGAUGCAGCAACGCCGCGUGCGGGAUGACGGCCUUCGGGUUGUAAACCGCUUUCGCCUGUGACGAAGCGUGAGUGACGGUAAUGGGUAAAGAAGCACCGGCUAACUACGUG